rnacentral:lncRNA from 1 species
CUACAAUGGGACAUGGGCACAGCGUAAAAAUGUAAAGUUUGAAAAAAACUGGAAUGGCUGUGUCCCAAAUGUGCCCCUCCAAUGUCCACAUAUACCUGGCAAAGGUACAUACGGAGGUAUUGCUGUACUCAGCCGACAUAGCUGAGGAACAUAUGAAGUAUUAUACAGCCGUAGCACACAUAAGGUUUGGAAAAUAUACUGUGCAAACUCACUUUGUGUGUCAAAAAGGCAGAAAAAACACUUAUUACCACUACGCUUGGUACAAGCUAGCGGAAAAACGAUCCCAC